CGCUGGCUUGACUUACACCGUUUAAAACGCCGACAUACGAACAAUGUUUCCCAAUUAAAAGUGUGACAAUACCUCUCAAAAGCCUGAAUGGUGUAGCUUAUAAGCGGUCGACCCAGUAACAAGCAAAACUGUUUGGGUGUCUGCAGUCCGGUCCUCUCUCCGCUGCCACCGGCAGGGAGAACCACAAAGACUGGGAAGUCCACGCCAACUCUGGCCUGCGCGUGGCCGCUCUUCCCGCAUUGGCUGGCUAGGAAAGUCCCAGGAUUCGCGGGCCUUGCUGGGUCCUCGCUUGACAUGUCGACGUGGGGCGGGUCCAUCAUCUACUUGGUGGAAUGUCACGACACUCCAAUCCCGAAAAGUCCCAUUUGAUAGAAGAGUUCGCUGGAGGCUGCAGAUUGUCCCCUGCUGUAACUCAAACCGGCAUCCAUUCAUAACAUCACACGCCUCCCUGACAAUGGCUGCCGCUCCGUGACAGUGUUUGAUGAAUGGAGAGAAUGACUUCACGACGGGAGCUGUCAUCCCUGAACGGCUGACGUCAAGAGUCACAUCAAAGCCACCCUGGUUCUCCCGUGCUUUGUCUUACCGCCUCCGUCCCGUCCUGCUGCUCUCCCGCCGGCCCGCGCCCGGUUCAGGGACACGUUU